GAUGAAGAACGUAGCGAAAUGCGAUAAGUAGUGUGAAUUGCAGAAUUCAGUGAAUCAUCGAAUCUUUGAACGCACAUUGCGCCCUUUGGUAUUCCUUAGGGCAUGCCUGUUCGAGCGUCAUUUAAACCUUCAAGCUAAGCUUGGUGUUGGGUGACUGUCCGCCGCCUCCGGGCGGUCGGACUCGCCUCAAAUUGAUUGGCGGCCGGUACUUUGGCUUCGAGCGCAGCAGAAACGCGAACUCGAGGCCGUCGUCCUGGCUCCCAGAAGCUAUCUUCACAAUUUUGACCUCGGAUCAGGUAGGGAUACCCGCUGAACUUAAGCAUAUCAAUAAGCGGAGGA
rnacentral:misc_RNA from 1 species